AGCGAACGCUGGCGGCAUGCUUAACACAUGCAAGUCGCGCGGGAGGUUUCGGCCAUCAGCGGCGGACGGGUGAGUAUCGCGUAGGAAUGUAUCCCGAGGUGGGGGACAACCCUGGGAAACUGGGGCUAAUACCGCAUGGGCCCUGUGCGUCAAAGCCUUAGGGCGCGUUGGGAGCAGCGUGCGUCGGAUCAGGUGGUUGGAGGGGUAAAGGCGUACCAAGCCUGCGAUCGGUAGCUGGUCUGAGAGGACGAGCAGCGACACUGGGACUGAGACACGGCCCGGACUACUACGGGAGGCAGCAGUGGGGAAUAUUGGACAAUGGGCGCAAGCCUGAUCCAGCAAUGCCGCGUGAGUGAAGAAGGUCUUCGGAUUGUAAAGCCCUUUCGGCGGGGACGAUAGUGACGGUACCCGCAGAAGAAGCCCCGGCUAACUUCGUG
rnacentral:rRNA from 1 species